UUUCCAUGGAAUGUUUUUGGUAUUUAGUCAAACAUAUAACUAUGUUAACCUCUUCAAUUUCUAAAACAUUUUAAGUGGUAAGCUCUUGUUGAUUCAGAAAUACAUGCCUCCGCUCGCAAAACUUCAAACUGCAUUAUCUUUAAAACGACAACAGUUAUCUCAAAUCUGUUAAAUGAUAAAUGAUCUACAGUUGAAGGACAACAUUAUAGAAAAAGAAUUUGGACAAUUUCAAAGUUCACCAAGGUCACAAUUAUUCAUCAAAUAUAUGAUGCAAUACCAAACUUAAGAACCGGAAGUCACAGAGACAUGGGACUAUCACCAUUCAACUCAGGACUACUUGACUUUUCAAAUAUCACAAGGUCAAGGUCAUUGUAUACUGUGAAGGUCAAGGUGAAAUUUCAUCAUGACCUGACAUUGACCUCAAAUUGAAGGUCUUGAAUUACUGAUCAUCUUUGGAGUUUAUAGCAGGUUGAUAUCUGUAACCUUUAAAAAGAUAUACACACAAUACUAUACUUUUAAGAAUCAUCCCGUUGUAACUUUUAAACAGACGGUUGGACAUUUUUGGGCUUAUUGUAUAAAAUGUAGAGCUCGUCGAGAGGAACAUUUAAUACACAGUAUGUAUGCAGCAAACUCUUAUCGUUUUCUUAAUAUGUAAGCUUAAAAUUGCAGCGUGAUUUUUUUUGCACUCAGUGACCUUUGAACUUGGGUGCAAAUUAAAGGUCACAUGAAUAAGAGAAUAUUAGUGAAGGUCC
rnacentral:lncRNA from 1 species